rnacentral:rRNA from 1 species
UACGGAGGGGGAUAGCGUUGUUCGGAAUUACUGGGCGUAAAGCGCACGUAGGCGGAAGUGCCAGUCAGGGGUGAAAUCCCGGAGCUCAACUUAGGAACUACCUCUGAUACAGCCCGUCUUGGGUCCGGAAGAGGUGGGUGGAAUUCCGAGUGUAGAGGUGAAAUUCGUAGAGAUUAGGAAGAACACCGGUGGCGAAGGCGACCCACUGGUUCGGUACUGACGUUGAGGUGCGAAAGAGUGGGGAGCAAACAGG